rnacentral:rRNA from 1 species
AUGGCAGAUCCCUCUGGUGCUCGUGGCGGCAACAUUCCGGCUGAUCCAAUGGCUGACACCGUGGAAGAAGCUGUGGCUCCGGUUGAGCAGCACUUGAAGUGGACGAAAGAGGACGAGGAAUCGGAUGCUGCUUUAUCCGCUCCCCUCAUGAGCAGCCUCCAGCAAGUGGACUCAAUCGGGGAGACCAUGGAUUCUGCAGAAGCAGCACCUACUCCGGUUGAGAAGGAGGAGGACGAGGAGUACUUGCAGAAAGCAGCGCAGGAGCUUAGGUCCUCUGACUCUGAGAUCGUGGAUGUAGGUGACAUUUCUAGCUGUAGCCGCGAGCAUGUUGAUGAGGGAUUGGACAAUGAUUUGAUGAAAGCAGCAGAAGAGUUCAAGAUUGAUUUCCACAAGAGAAAAGAGCAGAUGCAUAGGUUUCCUGCAAGCCUACGCAGUCUCGACAGCCAGUACACUGAGCCGAGGGUCGUUGCCAUCGGCCCUUACCACCACGGCAAACCCCACCUCCUGGAGGUGGAGAAGGUCAAGCACGUGGCUGCCGCCCAAUUCACCCACGAGUCAGGCCGCUCAAUUGAGGAGAUCUAUGGGGCUGUCUGCGAGGUUGCAGACGAGGCCCGCCGCCUCUACGGUCAUGACUCUGCGGUGGCAGGUAUCAGCAAUGUCGACUUUAAUCCUAUGAUGUUCUAUGAUGCUUGUUUCGUGCUGGAAUUUUUGCAUACAAUUAGUGAUGAGCAUGAGGAGCAGCUUCUAUCUGAAGAAGCAUUGCUGUAUUUUUUCCGCUCCAACGAAGAGCAAAUCAUUUGUGAUAUAAUGUUGCUAGAGAACCAGCUCCCCUGGGUAGUUGUGGAAGCCUUGAUGAACUUCAGGUCCGUUCCCGUGCAAGUGAAGAUGAUAAUUUCAAGGAUGGGGAAAGGUCUCACAAACCGUAAGUAUCAUAUUCAUACCGGACCAGAAGAAACUAUUUCAGACUUGCAUGAAGAGUACAAUCCGCCUCAUCUCCUUGGUCUCCUCCGAUUCUACAAAAUAAGCAGCAAGAUUUCCACCAAAGUCAGCAAGAAUGUCAAAAUAGCCAACAAGAUAUCCUGCAUUAUUCAUGUAUUUUCAAUAUUGAACCGUUUGAAAGUCUGGUUAAUUGGUGCGCAUAAAGAAAUGCGUAUACCAUCGGCCAAGAACAAGUCCAUGAAAACACUCGGCUCAAUGUCAAUAUCUACAGGUGCCAUCGAGCUUGCAGAAAUUGGCAUCAAGCUGAAAGCCAGCAAGUCAGGAAGUUUCACAGAAAUGGCCAUCAGGAAAGGACCCCUCUUUGGCGAGCUUUCCCUGACGCCACUGGUGCUAAGCGCUACAAAUGCAUGUUUACUUGCAAACAUGGCAGCUUUCGAGGUAUGCACGACCUCAGGGGAUCUAUCGGAUGAUAAAGGGACGGCCGUCUGCUCUUACCUCGCCCUUGUUUCAAUGCUCAUGGAUCAGAAAGAGGAUGUGCGUGACCUACGGAGGAAGCAUCUUGUGCAGGGAGAACUCACAAACCAAGAGGUGUUUGACUUUUUCAAGACCCUUACCAGGCACCUGCCGGUCGGCCACUCCUUUCUCCUCGUCUUAACAAGCAUUGAGAAGUACCAGGUCAACAGGUGGAUGUGGAUCAAGGUGCACAGGUUCAUCUACAAGUACUUCAAAACCAUUGCUACGGUCUUCUCAGUGGUUGGUGUUCUAGUGGGCAUCUUCAAGACGCUCCUCUCUCUCAGGAAACACCAGUAA